rnacentral:rRNA from 1 species
GACAGAGGGUGCAAGCGUUGUUCGGAAUCAUUGGGCGUAAAGGGCGCGUAGGCGGCUUAGUAAGUCGAAUGUGAAAUCCCAUGGCUUAACCAUGGAAGUGCAUUCGAAACUGCUUCGCUAGAGUCUCAGAGAGGGUGGUGGAAUUCCCAGUGUAGAGGUGAAAUUCGUAGAUAUUGGGAGGAACACCGGUGGCGAAGGCGACCACCUGGAUGAAGACUGACGCUGAGGCGCGAAAGCGUGGGUAGCAAACAGG